CAGUGACUUCAGUGAAACCAGGCCUAAAGGAUGCUCUUCAGUUCACAUCUCACUCCUCAGCAGCAUUCUUCACCGCUUGCCGCUCUAUCGUUUUGAAAUACCUGUAACAAGCAUGCUGCCUUGGUUUCCCUCCUAAAUGACCUCUGCUCCCUCUCCUCUCAAUAUCUUUCUCUCUUCCCCCCUGCCCCGCCGAGGUUGAGUAUCAUUAUAAUAUCAUUGUCUACCUAUUAUUGAAUGUUAGCAUUUCCCAAAGCUAGACCUAGUUCUGUUCCAUUCUCAACCUACAAUCUUUUCCUAAGCUAUUUCAUUCAUGUACAUAGUUUGAAUUGUCCUUUUAUGUAAUAUUAUAGAUGAUUCAAAAAUUUAUCUGAGCUCCCAUCACGUCUAUCUACCUGUUAACUUGAUAUUUCUACUUAUAUCUUUCUAAGCCAUCUCAAACUCAACUCGAACUAGACCAAACUUACCUAUCUACCUAGUCCAGCUGUACCAUAAACUUUGAUGCCUUAUUCUUCUUGAUGCCUCAUCCACAUUAACUCCACUUAUCACCAUAUUUUCACCUCAAACACCUCUGUGAUCUCUCCCCUCCUCUCUCUAUUGCCGCCAUCCUAAUGCAAGCUGUCAUCAUCUCUUUCUUGGCCAACUGUAGUAGAUGUAGUCUCAUCCAUUGUGGUUCUUUCUAGUCUGUCUGGGACUCAUGACAUCGUGCUUUUGGGAAACAGAAGUGAUAUCAUGUUACCCCCACCAGGUUAUCCUUGCUUGCCUUCUCAUUGCUGUAAGGAUAAAGACCACAGACCCUCACAUGGAUUUUACCUCCCUGGGCUACCCCAUUUGGCAGCUCCCCCGUGUGUUCUCCCUUCCUUUCCUCUGAGAGGUGAAUUGUGCCUUGUUCCCUCCUGCUAUGGGGCUUUGCACUUGUUUCUUGCCCUUCCUUCAUCAACUUGUUAUCUAACUCUAUCCUGUGCUUUAGAUCUUAACACAAGUGUCAUUUCCCUGACUCCAUGGAGAUGGGGUCGAGAUUUGUAGGCUUUGCUUAUUCUUCAUAGUCCUUUAGGUUUACAUUUAAUUUUGUGAGGAUUUGAUUAAUAUCUCAGUAACCAUGAUAGCAAGAAUAUCUUUUUGUUUUUGUUUUUGUUUUUUCACCAUUUUAACUUUGGUGCUGAAAAAUACUUGUCAUAUAGUUAGGACUCACAUAUUCAUGAAUGAAUGAAUGAAUGAAUGAAUGAAUGAACAUAGAUUGAGUUUUGAGCCCUGCACUUAACACGUUCUUUUUGUGUGACCUUGGACAAGCUUUUAUAGAGUUCAUUUAUAUUUCUCUGAUAGCUUUAAUCUAAAAAUAAUCAAAAUCGUUGUAUAUUUUUACUGUGACUUAACCAAUUGUAAAAAUUAUUCUAAAAAUACGCAGUUAUUUCUGAGAACAAUUACACUGACGCAUCGUUCCCUGAGUGAAACCUAUACAUACAUGUUCCAAGUAUAUGAAGCAGUUUUUUGGGGACAGAGUAACUUUUUUUUCCCCUCUGUUGAAAUAAGAUGGGCAACUCAGCUAGGGGAGGUGAGGUUUUGUUACAGGAUAUGCCUUGACUACUACCAUGUGGAGCAGGACUGCUGGACAUGUUGCCAGCCAUGACCGAGCACCUGAAAACCCUGUGGGAAACUACCUGCCUUUCAUCGAGUUAUUGGAAUAGGGAGAGCCUUAGGAGUCCUAAGGCAGAUUUUCAGCUUUAUAUGCUAGUUCUGGGAGCCGUGUUCUGCAGGCUCUGCCAAAAGACUUUGACCUCACAAGUGAGAUGUUCCAUCCUGAAGUCCUGGAUGCUGCUUCUCAAAACAUUAAUAGGAAGCGUGACAUCAAGCCAUGCUGGCUCUCUGAAGUUGGAGAAAUGCUGCAUGCUCACUUGGCUAACAAGGUGAACAUUACUCUGUCACCACAUUUUUAUCUAGUAUGCGUCCUAAUCUCAAGGAUCCAGCUAAGUUGUGUGUUGUCAGUUGGAGACAUUAGCUUGGGCAGUAAGCUCAGCCUUGCACUGCUUCUGGCAGGUUUACUCAUCUUCAUCCACUCUUAUCUCGAUAUGAGGAUAUCUGUUUUUUGAGCAUGUUCCAUAUCCAUGUUUCAUGUGAAAUUGCUUGUCAUUCUUGCUUAUCACUUAAAAUAAUAACUGGCUCCCUUCUUUUGUAGCAUUUGCUAAUAGUGGCAGAACUAUUUAUACGAUUAUGAUAAUCUGUCAAGAGGAUUAUGCAAAGUAUCUCCCCCCACCCCUUCUCUAAAGCAGAGUUAAAUUGAACACUGUAAAGGACAUUUUCAUAACCAAGGAUUUUUACCAAUUAUUUACUGUGGAUUUAAAUUGAUACUGAAUGACUGGAGGCAUUGAUUUUUAAAGCUGGAAAUAUUUACAAACCAUCCAAUUCUUUUUCCUUAGUAUUUUGUCUCUAGUUACUUCGAAAUCUCUCUCCUCUCUCUCUCUACACACACACACACACACACACACACACACACACACACACACACACACACAGAGAUGUAAAACAUACACAUAGAAAGACUUUAAGGAAAGACAUCAAAAUGGUAAAAGUCAUUAUACCUGGUUGGUUGAAUUGAAGUUAUUUUAUACUUCUUUAUACUUGCUUUCUUCAUGGGGAAAGUAUUUUUAUGAUCAAUAAAAAUAUUUUUCUGUAAUAUGUAUGUACUACUUUACAAUAUUAAAGCACUUUCACAUUUUUCCAAAAAUUAAAAGCACAGUGAAAUUUGCACAUUGAGAAACAUUUGGAGCCAAUUAAAUGCCACUUAUGUUUCUCUAAAAAAAAGGAAACUACUUUUAUUCAUGUAAUUAAGAGCCCCACUCAUGAACAUUAAAGAAUUGUUGCCCACUGUACUUUUGGUAUAUGUAGAAAUAUAAAACCAAAAAUGUAUAGUAUAAAAAUAAAAAAUAUACAAAAAGUAAAAAUAUACCAAUAACCCAGUAAAACAGGAUUUUGAUUGGUAUUUGGAGAAAUU
rnacentral:lncRNA from 1 species